rnacentral:misc_RNA from 1 species
GAUGAAGAACGCAGCGAAAUGCGAUAACUAAUGAGAAUUGCAGAAUUCCGUGAAUCAUCGAGUCUUUGAACGCACAUUGCGCCCCCUGGUAUUCCGGGGGGCAUGCCUGUCCGAGCGUCAUUGCUGCCCAUCAAGCACGGCUUGUGUGUUGGGUCCCGUCCCCCUCUCCCGGGGGACGGACCCGAAAGGCAGCGGCGGCACCGCGUCCGGUCCUCGAGCGUAUGGGGCUUUGUCACCCGCUCUUGUAGGCCCGGCCGGCGCUUGCCGACACCCAACCAUUUUUUUCAGGUUGACCUCGGAUCAGGUAGGGAUACCCGCUGAACUUAAGCAUAUCAAUAAGCGGAGGA